GACGAACCGAGCGAACGUUGUUCGGAAUCACUGGGCUUAAAGGGCGCGUAGGCGGCUCUUCAAGUCGGGGGUGAAAUCCCACAGCUUAACUGUGGAAGUGCCUUCGAUACUGAGGAGCUCGAGCGAGGUAGGGGCAGAGGGAACUUCUGGUGGAGCGGUGAAAUGCGUUGAUAUCAGAAGGAACGCCGGUGGCGAAAGCGCUCUGCUGGACCUCUUCUGACGCUGAGGCGCGAAAGCUAGGGGAGCAAACGGG
rnacentral:rRNA from 1 species